UACGUAGGGUGCAAGCGUUGUCCGGAAUUAUUGGGCGUAAAGAGCUCGUAGGUGGCUUGUCACGUCGGGUGUGAAAGCUUGGGGCUUAACUCCAGGUCUGCAUUCGAUACGGGCUGGCUAGAGGUAGGUAGGGGAGACUGGAAUUCCUGGUGUAGCGGUGAAAUGCGCAGAGUAUCAGGAGGAACACCGGUGGCGAAGGCGGGUCUCGUGGGCCGAUGACUGACGCUGAGGAGCGAAAGCGUGGGGAGCGAACAGG
rnacentral:rRNA from 1 species